CAAUAGCGUAUAUUAAAGUUGUUGCAGUUAAAAAGCUCGUAGUUGGAUUUCUGUGAGAGUGCCGGUGUCGGCUGAUGCUUGUACGCAGGCGCUCUUACAUCCUUCUGUUAACUGAUCUUGGCAUUUUAUUGCUGGUUCAGGGCUCAGAUAUUUUACCUUGAGAAAAUUAGAGUGUUUCAGGCAGGCUUAUGCCGGAAUAUAUUAGCAUGGAAUAAUGGAACAGGACCUGUGCGUCUUUCGGGGCGCCGGUCUCCGUUAUUGGUUUCGGGGACUAAAGUAAUGAUUAAUAGGGAUAGUUGGGGGCAUUAGUAUUUAAUAGUCAGAGGUGAAAUUCUCGGAUUUGUUAAAGACUAACUUAUGCGAAAGCAUUUGCCAAGGAUGUUUNCAUUG
rnacentral:rRNA from 1 species